rnacentral:rRNA from 1 species
CAAGCGGAAUUCCAUGUGUAGCGGUAAAAUGUGUAAAUAUAUGGAGGAACACCAGAAGCGUAGGCGGCUUGCUGGGUCUUUACUGACGCUGAGGCACGAAAGCGUGGGUAGCAAACAGGAUUAGAUACCCUGGUAGUCCACGCCGUAAACGAUGAGUACUAAGUGUCGGGGUAAAACUCGGUACUGAAGUUAACACAUUAAGUACUCCGCCUGAGUAGUACGUACGCAAGUAUGAAACUUAAAGGAAUUGACGGGACUCCGCACAAGCGGUGGAUCAUGUUGUUUAAUUCGAAGAUACACGAAAAAUCUUACCAGGUCUUGACAUACUCUGCAAAGCUAUAGAAAUAUAGUGGAGGUUAUCAGGGAUACAGGUGGUGCAUGGUUGUCGUCAGUUCGUGUCGUGAGAUGUUAGGUUAAGUCCUAAAACGAGCGCAACCCUUGUCGUUAAUUGCCAGCACGUAAUGGUGGGGACUUUAGCGAGACUGCCAAUUAAACAUUGGAGGAAGGUGAGGAUUACGUCAAAUCAUCAUGCCCCUUAUGAUCUGGGCUACAAACGUGAUACAAUGGCUGUGACAAAGAGUAGCUGAGACGCGAGUUUUUAGCCUAUCUCAAAAAAGCAGUCUCAGUUCGGAUUGAAGUCUGUAACUCGACUUCAUGAAGUUGGAAUCGCUCGUAAUCGCGAAUCACCAUGUCGCGGUGAAUACUUUCUCGGGGUUUGUACACGCCGCCCGUCAAGCCACGAAAGUUAGCAUUACCCGGAAAACAGUACCUUAACUUCCUAAGAAGAGGGAACUGUCUAGGGUAGGGUUGAUGAUUGGGGGUUAAUUCGUCAACAAGGUAUCGCUAACUCGGAAGGGUGGGGGAUGGAAUCACCC